ensembl:lncRNA
GUUUUUACAAGUGCUGCAUUACAAGCGCACCGAUUGUCCUCCCCUAGAAUUUGAGUGAAUGGUAUCUUCCGUAAGAACCUGUACAUAGAGAGGGAGAGCGCGAGCGCAGCGCGAGAGAGAGGACAGCGCUCAUCGGAGGGAAUGGCGGAGACCGUUCGCUCGCUCAUUGACUACCGGGAGCCGCCGCAGCUGGACAGCAACGGAGAGAGCAGCAAACCGCCGCAGACGCGAGGACGUGGCUGUGGAAGGAAAAGGAAAGGGACACCAGUAAAGGUGUGCGACAGAGUCUUUGCUACAGAGGAUGAAGAGGAGAGCAUGUCAGAGAACAGCUAUGGACCAGAGAAAGGUGAUGGUCAUGAGGACAAACACAGAGUGUCUGCUGCUGAUGGACUGUACUAUGAAACACAAUCUGCUCAGCUCUGUGUGAGUGAGGAGGGCUCUAGCGGAGAGAGGGGGUCCGUCUCGUACCCCCCAUCACCAAACUGCCGCAUUCGUGAAGUGCACUGUGGAAAUCAAGUGCGACUGAUUGUCAUAGCGAUCCGCGACAUUCCAAAGGGGGAGGAGAUCACUGUGGAUUACAGUUUGACCGAGUGGGGAGAAAACGCUAUGGGUUUCCAUGGCACUGUGCCUCCUAGUAGCUUUGAUUGCAGCUUGGACCACGAGAGCAACAUUAAGAAGGUAAAUAUACAUUACAUUUUCAUGAAUACACUUACAGACACACCCAGUUACCAAGCAACAGUCAUUUUCAGGCCUCUUUCUGAAUAUCCUGUCCUUCUGAAAUGAUUGCUGGGCCCCUGGCCAUCAGAACCAUAAGCACCACGGCACACUAAUAUCUC